UAAAUUAAGUAUUUAAUGUACAUAUCAUUUACAAUGAUAAGGUCUAAAGGUAGUAGAAUUUAUUUAAAUUAAUUAACUGUAAAGGUUUUAUUGUUUUGGUUUAUUUAUAAUACCUUUUGCAUAAUGGUUUAAUUAAAUAAUUAAUUUAAUAUAUUAUUCCCGAAAUUAGAAGAUCUAAUUUAUUUUUUAAGUUAGUAAUAAUUUAAAAUAAUGUUUCAUAAUUAUUAUAUAAAAAUAAAUUAGGGGUGAAAGGCUAAUCAAUUCUAAGGAUAUCUGGUAUAAUUUAAAAUGUAUUUAGUACAGGACAAGAUCUGAAUAAUAAAAUGUUAAGGUUUUAUUAUAUAAGAAUAUAUAUUAAUAUUUAUUUAUGAUUUAAUAUUCAAAUAAUUUUAAAAAUUUAGAAAUUUAUUGUAUUAUUAUCUUAUAAUAAUAAAAUUAUAAUUUAAUUAAUUUAUAAUAAAAUAGAUUAUGUUAAAAUUAGUAUAAAUUAUUAUUAUUUUUUUAAGGAACUCGGCUAAUUAUUAUUCAUCUGUUUAUCAAAAACAUAGCCUUAUGUAUAUUUAAUAUAAGGUACUACCUGCCCACUGAUUAUAUUUAACGGCCGCAGUACCUUGACUGUGCUAAGGUAGCAUAAUAAAUUGACUUUUAAUUGGGGCCUAGAAUGAAAGGAUAAUUGAAUAAUUUCUGUCUCAUAAUAAAUUAAUUAUAAGUUACUUAAAAGGUGAAAAUUCCUUUAAAUUAAUAAAAAAGACGAGAAGACCCUAGGAGUUUUCUUUUUGCUGGGGCGGCAGUAUAGCAUAUAACCUAUAUAAAUUAUAAUUUAUAUAACGAAUUUAUAUUAAUAACAAUUUAACUACCCUAGGGAUAACAGCAUAAUUUUGAAUUAAGUUUGUGACCUCGAUGUUGGA
rnacentral:rRNA from 1 species